UCCGAGCAAUGAUCUCACUCUGCAUUUUUCGCCCCGUGGGUUGUGACCCACUACUGGGUUACGAAAUCAGUUUAGUGGGUCACGGCCAGCAAUUUUCUUUAAAAAGUAAAUAGAACAGAAGAUAUCCAAGUGCAUCGCACACAACGAGGGGGUUAUCUUUAUAAAACUUUUGCUUCGGUUUCACUUAUCUGUGUGUCGGUGUGUGGGGCGGUUGGGACAGGAGAUAGAUUUCUCACAGGGAGCGGUGGUCAAGGAAGUUUGGGACGCAGUAACCGAAGAGCACGCACGCAUCCUGCGGCUCAUCUCCCCGGGACCCGUCUCUGCUACCGCCCACCUCUGAUGAGAGGUCCACAGGACUCUUCAAGGUCCUCAGGUGGCGGCACCUGGAAGGCAAGGUCUAAGUGUCUCUGGAGACGUAGCGGAAUGACUUAAAUUCUUACCAAAGGGCAACGGGCGAUAUGAACAGAAUGAAGAAAGCCAGAGUCUAAGAAGCCAUCGACGGGAGGCCGCGCAUAGGACGGAGGGACGUCAGACGAUAAGACGCGGCCCUGGCCACGCGAGCUGCCUGGGGGUCCAGAGAAUGAGGAUAAGCUCCUCUAUCGGGGGAUGUGGAAAACCUUGAGAACUGGGAGGAAGUGACCCACAGUCAUUACUCAUCUUCAAGUGAGUCCGUUCCCAGCAGCCGUCAGCAAGGGGGCUCGACCCCAGGAGUAAGCGCUUCUCCCCUUGUAGGAAGGGAGCAGGAAGAGUGGGCGCAGGCCUUCCCGGGGGGACGCCCGUCCUUGGCCCUCCUCCGCUCCCUGCACUUGCUUUACCACUAGGUCCAGGCCUCCAGCUCCUUCACGCCAAUGACUCCCCGAGAAAUAACACCCGCGCGGGCCUAGGGGCUCCAGUGCUAACUGGUCAUCGCUACCAGGAGCCUCCCGCAGCAGGCCCAGGAGAACCCGAGCCGUCCGCGGCCCCCUGGCCCCCUCCUGUGUUCUGGUUUCUGGCUCAUCCUCCACUUGCUCACUCCAUCAUCCAGUCGUUGAAACUGAGGCGCAGAAGUCCCACGGCUAGUGACGGGAGGACCAGAACACGACCCUCCACUCCUUGCCACUCUGCUCUCUACACCACUGCUCCCUCCUGAACACCCUCCAAAGACCGUUCCAGAAAAAGCUGGAAGGGGCACCUGCGUGGUUCAGUCAGUGAAACAUCUGACUCUUGAUUUCGACCCAAGUCAUGAUCUCAGGCUCGAGCAAUGGAGCCGGGUGCUGGGUUCCACAUGCUGAGCCAGGAGUCUGCUUGAGACUCUCUCUCCCUCUGCCCCUGCCCCCUCCUCAUUCACAAGCACGCACGCUCUCUCUCUAAAAUAAAUAAAUCUUAAAAAAAAAAAAAGAUACGAACUUACACACUCAUGAUUUCCCUGUCUAUCCAAUCUCCCACCGCAGCUUCUUAACACCAUAAGAAAUAUCUUGAUCAGGAGGGUGGCAAUAGAGUAGACACAUUAUAAAAAUUCCCUAAGAAGGAUGCUUAGGACUUCUGACUUCACUGUAUGUUCACUACUCCUCGGUAAA